rnacentral:rRNA from 1 species
CCUACGGGAGGCAGCAGUGAGGAAUAUUGGUCAAUGGGCGGAAGCCUGAACCAGCCAAGUAGCGUGCGGGAUGAAGGCCCUACGGGUCGUAAACCGCUUUUGCACGGGGAUAACACCCUCCACUUGUGGAGGUCUGCAGGUACCGUGCGAAUAAGGGCCGGCGAAUUCCGUGCCAGCAGCCGGGGUAAUACGGAAGGCCCGAGCGUUAUCCGGAUUCAUUGGGCUUAAAGGGAGCGUAGGCGGGCGUUCAAGUCAGCGGUAAAAUCGCGCGGCUCAACCGCGCCCCGCAGUUGAAACUGGACGCAUUGAGUUCACAACAGGCAGGCGGAAUUCGUGGUGUAGCGGUGAAAUGCGUAGAUAUCACGAGGAACCCCGAUUGCGAAGGCAGCCUGCCGGGGUGCGACUGACGCUGAGGCUCGAAGGUGCGGGUAUCAAACAGGAUUAGAUACCCGAGUAGUC